rnacentral:tRNA from 1 species
GGUAGAGCAGUUGACUGUUAAUCAAUUUGUCGUAGGUUCGACCCCUACCGCGGGAGCCA